AUUGAACGCUGGCGGCAGGCUUAACACAUGCAAGUCGAGCGGGGGAAGGUAGCUUGCUACCGGACCUAGCGGCGGACGGGUGAGUAAUGCUUAGGAAUCUGCCUAUUAGUGGGGGACAACAUCUCGAAAGGGAUGCUAAUACCGCAUACGUCCUACGGGAGAAAGCCGGGGAUCUUCGGACCUUGCGCUAAUAGAUGAGCCUAAGUCGGAUUAGCUAGUUGGUGGGGUAAAGGCCUACCAAGGCGACGAUCUGUAGCGGGUCUGAGAGGAUGAUCCGCCACACUGGGACUGAGACACGGCCCAGACUCCUACGGGAGGCAGCAGUGGGGAAUAUUGGACAAUGGGGGGAACCCUGAUCCAGCCAUGCCGCGGGUGUGAAGAAGGCCUUAUGGUUGUAAAGCACUUUAAGCGAGGAGGAGGCUACUUUAGUUAAUACCUAGAGAUAGUGGACGUUACUCGCAGAAUAAGCACCGGCUAACUCUGUG
rnacentral:rRNA from 1 species